GUCCAUGGCCACACUGGACGCGCUUGAUCUCGUCUGAUCUCGGAAGCUAAGCAGGGUUGGGCCUGGUUAGUUCUUGGGUGGGAGACCUUCUGGGAAUACCGGGUGCUGUAGGCU
rnacentral:rRNA from 1 species